rnacentral:rRNA from 1 species
AGUGAACGCUGGCGGUAGGCCUAACACAUGCAAGUCGAACGGCAGCACAGAGGAGCUUGCUCCUUGGGUGGCGAGUGGCGGACGGGUGAGGAAUACAUCGGAAUCUACUCUGUCGUGGGGGAUAACGUAGGGAAACUUACGCUAAUACCGCAUACGACCUACGGGUGAAAGCAGGGGACCUUCGGGCCUUGCGCGAUUGAAUGAGCCGAUGUCGGAUUAGCUAGUUGGCGGGGUAAAGGCCCACCAAGGCGACGAUCCGUAGCUGGUCUGGGAGGAGGAUCAGCCAAACUGGAACUGAGACACGGUCCAGACUCCUACGGGAGGCAGCAGUGGGGAAUAUUGGACAAUGGGCGCAAGCCUGAUCCAGCCAUACCGCGUGGGUGAAGAAGGCCUUCGGGUUGUAAAGCCCUUUUGUUGGGAAAGAAAUCCAGCUGGCUAAUACCCGGUUGGGAUGACGGUACCCAAAGAAUAAGCACCGGCUAACUUCGUGCCAGCCGCCGCCGUAA